rnacentral:rRNA from 1 species
GAGUGCGCAGUUUUCUGUAGCAAUACAGGGAAUGGGCGCACGGCGCACGGGUGAGUAACACGUGGGCAACCUGCCCUACAGAGGGGGAUACCCCCGCGAAAGCGGGACUAAUACCGCAUGAUAUUCCGGUGGCUUCGGCUGCUGGACUCAAAGUCCGCAAGGACGCUGUUGGAGGGGCCCGCGCCCGAUUAGCUUGUUGGUGAGGUAACGGCUCACCAAGGCAAUGAUCGGUAGCCGGUCUGAGAGGAUGGCCGGCCACACUGGAACUGAGACACGGUCCAGACUCCUACGGGAGGCAGCAGUGGGGAAUCUUGCGCAAUGGGCGAAAGCCUGACGCAGCGACGCUGCGUGGGGGAUGAAGCUUCUCGGAGUGUAAACCCCUUUCGACCCGGACGAAACUCCCGCAAGGGAUUGACGGUACGGGUAUAAGAAGCCCCGGCUAACUACGUG